GGAUAUGAGGAUGAUCUGGCAGCAACAUCUGGCACUCCAUUGAUUAGCAGGGUUGAUUCAGCUGAUAUGGCUGGCUAGGCUGGUGUCCCAUUCAUCCCUCUGGAGGCUGCACAUUCAAAAGAGAAUGACCUUCCCCAAAUUGAGACUGUCCAGGAUAUGAGUGGUUAUGCUCUCUUGCUACUACCUCUUAGCAAGCUCUCAAGAUCCAAAGAAGUUAAUUCUGAGAUUCUUUUAAAUUUAUUUAUUUACUUGCUGAUGUUUACU
rnacentral:snRNA from 1 species